UGACAGUCCCCCAGCCCCACUUUGCUGC
rnacentral:piRNA from 1 species